AGUGACCCACUUGUAACCUACUGUACAGUGUACAGCUGAGCGACAUCCACUCAACCGUUUUUUAUUGCACCGUUUUAUUGUCGUAAUAAUUUUUAUUGAAUGUGCUUGUGAGUUUAUAAUAUGAAGAUUAAACAACGCGUUAUCGCAUGCCGCAACGUCGGCUACCGCCGUGAUUUUGUCUUGUAGUUUGUACCAUUCCGUUCUAUCAGCCGUGUGUACUAAUCGCCGCGGAAUAUGUAUUUUAGUGAUUAUCAUUUUAUCUUGUGUGCUCCAAUCGCUACCUUGGAACCGUUGUUAUUGUAUUUUUGCUGCUAUCAAUAUUGAAUUAAAGGUGUAGCGGUUGGCCAUCAGAGGCUCAGAGCACCGACGUACU